rnacentral:tRNA from 1 species
AAUUAAUGAACUUGAAUAAGUUUAUAUUUUGAAAAUAUAAAAAAGAGGUAAAAUCUUCUAUUAAUUU